rnacentral:lncRNA from 1 species
UACAAUGUGUCAUUUUUAACGGUUUGUAUGUUUUUACUUUAUACAUUUAACUUGAUUUGAGUUUGAUAUUGUGGUUAGUUAUGGUGAUCAUCUACAUGUCAUAAAGCAAUAUAUUUUGUUUUAGUGUAUUUAAAAAUGUUGAAAUGAAACAAAUUAAUGUAUACGCGCUUCAUACAAAAUGUACUUCCGUCAACGCUUUUACACCCCAAUGAAGUUACAAAAAGAAGCAUUCAAUUCUUAAAUAAACACACACAUACACAGACGCGCACAAUUAUUCAUAUAUAUAAAAUUGAGAAUGGAAAUAGGGAAUGUGUCAAAGAGACAACAACCCGACCAAAUAAAAAACAACAGCAGAGGGUCACCAACCUGUCUUCAAUGUAGCGAGAAAUUCCCGCACCCGGAGGCGUCCUUCAGCUGGCCCCUAAAAAAAUAUAUACUAGUCCAGUGAUAAUGAACGCCAUACUAAUUUCCAAAUUGUACACAAGAAACUAAAAUUAAAAUAAUACAAGACUAACAAAGGCCAGAGGCUCCUGACUUGGGACAGGCGCAAAAAUGCGGCGGGGUUAAACAUGUUUGUGAGAUCUCAACCCUCCCCCUAUACCUCUAACCAAUGUAGUAAAGUAAACGCAUAACAAUACGCACAUUAAAAUUCAGUUCAAGAGAAAUCCGAAUCUGAUGUCAGAAGAUGUAACCAAAGAAAAUAAACGAAAUGACAAUAAUACAUAAAUAACUACAGACUACUAGCAGUUAACUGACAUGCCAGCUCCAGAUUUCAAUUAAACUGACUGAAAGAUUAUGAUUUCAUCAUAUGAACAUCAGGCACAAUCCUUCCCGUUAGGGGUUUAGUAUCUUACCAUCAUAACAUAUAUGAGAAGAACAUAACCCGUGUCAUGCCAACAACUGUUUUUAGAAUAAAUGUGUUUAGUUCCGAUGCAAAGACCUUAUCAGUGACUCAAUAUUAACGCCAAAAUAUGCAAUCUUUAAUGACUUGACAACAGUAUCGUAAUUAUAUCCCUUCUUAAUAAGUCUAUUCAAAGGUUUUGUAAGUUUCUGAGGUGAAUACUGACACCUUUGUGCUUUAUAAAGAAUAUUACCAUAAAAAAUUGGAUGUGAAAUACCUGAACGUAUUAGAAGUCUGCAUGUUGAGCUAUAUUUACGAAUGAUGUCUUUAUAUCGAUGAUAAAAUUUAGUAAAUGUUUUGACUAGUUUGUGAUAUCGAAAACCCUGGUGUAAUAAUUUUUCAGUAAUACACAAAUUUCUCUCGUUGAAAUCUAAAACAUUGUUACAUACACGAGCGAAUCGUACAAGUUGAGAUAAAUAAACACCGUAAGAUGGUGACAAGGGAACGUCACCAUCUAAAAACGGAUAAUUAACGAUAGGAAUUAUGCAUGUAUAUGACAAUUUCACUGAAGAGUUUUCUAAAUAUUUUUUUCAAUUUUAUAUUUUGAGUAUCUAUAAAUAUAAAAGCUGCAUAAUUUACGGCCACAAUACUACAAGUAAUAGCUUUUCUAAAAAGCUAGCUGUAACAUAGCUGAUGAUAUUUGAAAAUGUUUUUUAAUGCAGCAUAGCAUGGUAUUGAAUUACAAAAAUAAUAAAAAUAAACGGCAAAUACUUACUUUGCGAAUUCCUAUGUCUUUUUUGUUUGGAAUCACAUGCAUUGGUCUUUCAUUUUUCUUUGCCAUAUGCAUUCCGCUUGUAUCUUUUGCAUUCAAAGUAGGUAUCGAAAAGUGUGAAAUGUAAAAUUAAAAAUGAACAAAAAAUUAGUUUUCAAAAGAUUACUCACUUCUUUUAAAAAUGUUUCUUACAACUUAUAUUGAACAAUCUUUUAUCUGACUUUUGCCGUUCCUUUUAAAGUAGGACAAAGAGCUAGAACACACGUCAACAACAUUUUAAAAUUUGGAAGUAAGGAGUUUUGUGUGUGGAUUUUUUGGGUUACCUGUCAUAAUUAUUCAUAUAUACUUCACAUCUCCUUUAAAUCAUAUUAGUGAACAUGCACAAAUAUUUGCUUUUAUAGUUCGAGAGUAGUUUUUUUAUAACCAUAAUCCCCUCGUCUAAAGUUCUUCACAUUCUGCUAUCUUGCAAUGAUAUUUAGAAUAGCUAUAUUAAUGUUAAUCGUAAUUACUAAGUAAUUAAUUAAUUUAUUUUCUUUUUUUUCUAUGAAAUGGUUACCUUCGGAUUAUAUUACUCAGGGAAAAAACAUUCAAAUAUUCUGUAUCCGGAUUCCACCAUAACUAAUAGUGUUUAAUUUUGAAAAAAACAAGUUGAUUGAUAGCGUUGAAAUACUAAAAAAAAAUCAGACGAAGACAAAAAAAAAACAAACUUCCCCUACCCCAUUGAAGUAAAAAAUGGUUGCUACUUAAGUAGCAAUAUGUAUUACAAAUAAAAACAGCAUAUGCGGUGUGUCCCUAGGUUUAGGUAUACGUAUACUAUAAUUAUUAGACAUUCAAAACAACGAGCAACUGGAUUAAAUAUGGAAUGAGCACGUGUGUGCCUUUAUACAUUACAAGUUACAAAGAAGUUCGUCUUUUAUAGAAUAAUGCUCCUGAAUAUACAUGUACAGAGUAUGCAUGAUUGAUCACGAUGCAACUUUAAAAAAAAAGAGUUAAAACAUGACACGCUGGUUAGGAUUGAAGGACAUUUACUAGGUUUCAAAUUGGCCCAAGAAAUCAAUAGACUUUAACUAUGUAAGACUCAGUAAUUUUUACCAAUCAGGUAGUAAAAAAGGAUUCAGCCCGAAGACUGUCCAUCGUUCAAAUUAGAAGACCGUCUCCUCAUUAGACUGACACCGAGGAGACAGUUAUAUUUUGGUAACAGUAUUGAGUUUUCCUAUGUAUUCCUUUACCGACAAAUGUGCGCUAUACAAAAUAUUUGCCACUGUUUAGAUUGGUCAGCUAGAACUUUCAUUAUUUGGAUAAAACAUAAAUAGAAAAUACACCAAAUUGAAAUAAUGCUUAAGUUUUCAAUUUUGUACCAAUUCCUAUAUUUUCUUUUAGAAAUAAACUGGAAUCCGCUUGUCUAUGAACAAAGUGUAGUCAGCCGAGAACCAGCUUAUUUUAGAAAUGGAGUUGUUUUCCGUGUUCACCGUUAAAGCAGUUUUGACAUUGAUAGUUACUUUUGUUUUCUGGCAACUCUUUAAGUUUGCUACCAAGUAUAGAGAAUGGCGUAAAGUUACCUCUCAGAUGAGUGUCAUAGGACCUAUUCAUCCCUUGUGGGGAUCACUUCACAAA